UACGUAGGGGGCUAGCGUUGUCCGGAAUCAUUGGGCGUAAAGCGCGUGUAGGCGGCCCGGUAAGUCCGCUGUGAAAGUCGGGGGCUCAACCCUCGGAAGCCGGUGGAUACUGUCGGGCUCGAGUACGGAAGAGGCGAGUGGAAUUCCUGGUGUAGCGGUGAAAUGCGCAGAUAUCAGGAGGAACACCGAUGGCGAAGGCAGGUCUCUGGGCAUUAACUGACGCUGAGGAGCGAAAGCAUGGGAGCGAACAGG
rnacentral:rRNA from 1 species